AAGGGCAGCACAGACUCCCUCAAGCCACACACUCCAACAGGUCAAGAUCACACAGAUAAGGGCUUCAGACAUUAAGACAAGUGGAUAUGAACAGGAACAUCCUCCCUGAGAUUUUAGGAGUGCAUUUAUGAAGCAACAGCAUUAAGGAAGCAGCUGCAGGAAGACACUGUGCAGUGCCUGGCAGGUCUGGCAGCAUCUCUGAUGUGCAGAUACAGAAAAAUCAUCUUAACUGCAAAGAUCCUAAGUUUAAAUAACAUGGCAUAGCUGCA